GGUGGUGUAGUAUAAUGGUUAGUACAAUUCGUUGUGGCUUGGAUUAAAUAAAACCGUCUUCAAUGAAUCCCGAAUAGAUCCAGGUUCGAUUCCUGGCACCGUCA